GACGAACGCUGGCGGCGUGCUUAACACAUGCAAGUCGAACGAUGAACCCGGAGCUUGCUCCGGCGGAUUAGUGGCGAACGGGUGAGCAACACGUGAGUAACCUGCCCUUGACUCUGGGAUAACUGCGGGAAACUGUAGCUAAUACCGGAUACGACCCUCGGCGGCAUCGCCAGGGGGUGGAAAGAAUUUCGGUCAAGGAUGGACUCGCGGCCUAUCAGCUAGUUGGUGAGGUAACGGCUCACCAAGGCGACGACGGGUAGCCGGCCUGAGAGGGUGACCGGCCACACUGGGACUGAGACACGGCCCAGACUCCUACGGGAGGCAGCAGGGGGGAAUAUUGCACAAUGGGCGCAAGCCUGAUGCAGCAACGCCGCGUGAGGGAUGACGGCCUUCGGGUUGUAAACCUCUUUUAGUAGGGAAGAAGCGAAAGUGACGGUACCUGCAGAAAAAGCACCGGCUAACUACGUGCCAGCCGCCGCCGUAA
rnacentral:rRNA from 1 species